UACCCUCGGGAGGGGGAUAACCCCGGGAAACUGGGGCUAAUCCCCCAUAGGCCUGAGGUACUGGAAGGUCCUCAGGCCGAAAGGGGCUCUGCCCGCCCGAGGAUGGGCCGGCGGCCGAUUAGGUAGUUGGUGGGGUAACGGCCCACCAAGCCGAAGAUCGGUACGGGCCAUGAGAGUGGGAGCCCGGAGAUGGACACUGAGACACGGGUCCAGGCCCUACGGGGCGCAGCAGGCGCGAAACCUCCGCAAUGCUCGAAAGAGCGACGGGGGGACCCCCAGUGCCGUGGCAUCGCCACGGCUUUUCCGGAGUGUAAAGGGCUCCGGGAAUAAGGGCUGGGCAAGGCCGGUGGCAGCCGCCGCGGUAAUACCGGCGGCCCGAGUGGUGGCCGCUAUUAUUGGGCCUAAAGCGUCCGUAGCCGGGCCAGUAAGUCCCUGGCGAAAUCCCACGGCUCAACCGUGGGGCUUGCUGGGGAUACUGCUGGCCUUGGGACCGGGAGAGGCGGAGGGUACUCCUGGGGUAGGGGUGAAAUCCUAUAAUCCCAGGAGGACCGCCGGUGGCGAAGGCGCUCCGCUGGAACGGGUC
rnacentral:rRNA from 1 species